rnacentral:rRNA from 1 species
AAUGAUGGUGGAAUUAUUUUCAAAAUAUUUUUGUUGGGGCGACACAGAAACAAGUGAUAACUUUCUGGAAAAUACAUGACGAUUUUUAUAAGAUCGGAGAAAUUACCUGAGGGAUAACAGCAUAAUUUUAUAGUUUAGUUUGUGACCUCGAUGUUGGACUAGGAAAUUAAUAGACUAGCCGUUUAUUAUAUUGGUUCUGUUCGAACUGUUUUUCCU